rnacentral:lncRNA from 1 species
CCUUUGGUCUUAAAGUCAAGUUUUACUAAGAUUUGACUUGCACAUUAGUUUUAUGUAACAAUAAGGUAUUUCUGUAUUCAUAACUAUUUUCUAGAGGACAGUGUCAAAAGCAUUAACCAAGCCUGUUCCUGCUUCCCUAUUCGCCUUUUCAAUAAGAUCGUAACUAACGAAGAGUGAAUGCUUUAUCUUUCAUAGACAAGAACUGAAUGACCCUAACAGGGAAGUAAGCGUUCACAUCCCUAAGAAGAGGUAGAAAACGGUUAACAUGGACUCAAAAACUUGUGAAUCAAAAAAGGAAGAUCUUUUAUCAAGUGGCGUCAUAUCCAAAGGAGGUUCUUCAAGCCCAUUUUUUGUAACAUCUACUCACGGUGCAAUAAUUGAAAACACGUCUUCAGCUGGGACUUUAACACAAAUUCCCUUUUUUCCUAAAUAUGAAGUGGAACUUGAUUCUCCUAGAAAGUC